UUACGGCCACAUCACGUUGAAACACCGGUUACCGUACGAUCACCGAAUUUAAACAACGUCGAGCCUGGUUAGUAUCUAGAAGAGUGAUUGCUUGGGAAUACCAGGUGCCGUAAG